rnacentral:rRNA from 1 species
AACGAACGCUGGCGGCAUGCCUAACACAUGCAAGUCGAACGAGACCUUCGGGUCUAGUGGCGCACGGGUGCGUAACGCGUGGGAACCUGCCUUUAGGUUCGGAAUAACUCAGAGAAAUUUGAGCUAAUACCGGAUGAUGUCUUCGGACCAAAGAUUUAUCGCCUUUAGAUGGGCCCGCGUUGGAUUAGCUAGUUGGUGGCGUAAAGGCCUACCAAGGCGACGAUCCAUAGCUGGUCUGAGAGGAUGAUCAGCCACACUGGGACUGAGACACGGCCCAGACUCCUACGGGAGGCAGCAGUGGGGAAUAUUGGACAAUGGGCGAAAGCCUGAUCCAGCAAUGCCGCGUGAGUGAUGAAGGCCUUAGGGUUGUAAAGCUCUUUUACCCGAGAUGAUAAUGACAGUAUCGGGAGAAUAAGCUCCGGCUAACUCCGUG